rnacentral:lncRNA from 1 species
GAGAGCGCUGAGGCGCCAGGAGAGAGCGCUGAGCGCCAAGCGCUGAGGCGUGGAGACUCGAGGUGGCGGCCGAGAGUAGGAAGCAAAACAACGGGACGGGACUGACUCGGGGCAACAACGACUACCCAUUGUGGGGAAAGACGGAAUCUCCCUCUGUCGCCCAGCUUGGAGCUCACUGCAACCUCUGCCUCCUGGGUUCAAGCAAUUUUCCUGGCUCAGCCUCCAGAGUAGCUGGGAUUACAGGUGCCUGCCACCAUGCCCAGAAAAUUUUUGUAUUUUUAGUAGAGAUGGGGUUUUGCCAUGGUGAACAGAGUGGCCUCGAACUCCUGACCUCAGGUGAUCAGCCAGUCUUGGUCUCCCAAAGUUCUGGCAUUACAGGCAUGAGCCAUCUCGCCUGGCCUCUUCCUAAUUUUUAAUACUAAAUAUCUCAUGGGGAUUGAGAAUAAAGCAAAUAUUUCCAAAGUGGCAAUGCCCCUGUUGUAGAGCAUAAAGGUCUUGGUGGAAAUUUUGAGUCUCACAGACCUGGGUUUUCAUAGAGUUUUACUCACUUUACACAUUACAGACCCUUUGACAGGGCAUUCUCUCCCUGCCUCUAGUACUGCCUCAUCAUAUUGUUUCUUGGAUGUUUUUAAUAUAACACAGCCAGUAACAGGCGCUCCAUGUAAUGACGCUAUGCAUGUGGUCUGUGAGCCGGGAGGUCAGUGUGUGUCAUCCUUGGGCGCUCCACACCCCUCCCCAAACCCACGUAGAUUCAGUGUGCUCAACCAGAAAGACGUAAUCAGAGAGAAUAGCCUGGCAUUUCUUGGAUUUGGUACCUAUCUUUUCAGUUCAAUAGAAUGGAGUUAAAAUAAAAAAAAAAAAAAAGAAACCUUUCUGAGCUCCUACUAUAUGACUGAAUAUACAGAAAUGAAGAAAUAAAUAGACUCAGUUUUUCAAUAACUUGCAGACUAAAGAGAAAACAGAAGCCCCAGCCACCUGGGGGCGGGGGAGGGGGGGCCUGACGUUAGAAAACACUAGGCCAGGUCUGCACAAUGCAGCAGAAGAGUCCGACCUCAGGGCGGUGCACCUUCUUGACCUGAGAUGAGACUAAGGCUAGAACGUUCAGAGAUGGAACAGCCCGAGCCAAGUGAUCGUGUGAACGGUUCCAUGACCCUGAAGAACGAAGUGGGUGCGGCAGGACAGGAGACUGGUCAGGCAGAGGCCAGGUGAGGAGGAAUCUCGUCUGUUGCCCUGAGACCUGGUGGACAAGGUGGAACCACUGAAAGGCACCUCCCGUCAGGCACACACAUUAAGGACUCGUGACUGAAGGAUGUUGGUUUGCAUAAAGCUAAAAAAGCCCUUAUCACAAAAUGUGUACAUGCAAUGCCUGGUAGGCAUAAUGAAUGUUGUGGAAACUGUUCUCAGUCAAUUUCUCUAAGUCUUAGAGAGAGCAAUGGAUUAUUCCUGUCUGUAUUUUACAUUAUCACAAUUUUUGUAUAGACAAAGCCAGUAUCUUUAGCUUGUCUGUCUCCCUCAUCUGCGCAUACGUACGGAGCAUCGUCACCACCUGUUGGAAUGACCUGAAGUGCAACAAAACUCCAUACAGAAAAACCAGAUCUAUAACAGUGAGGCCAACAAGUUCCAUUCUUA